AUGGUCCUACUCCUGUGCAUCGUGGUCCUUCCGGUCGUGCUCCUCCUCGUAAUAUCCUCCAGGCAGCACGGGAAAUGCUACAUCGGUGGCAGUCCGCUCCCUCCCGGGCCACCAUGGCCACGGCUCCCACUUCUCGGGAACCUCCUGUACCGCUGCCCCACAACCGCCUCCCUCUUCGAUGCGCUUCGGCGCCUCCACGCGGACUACGGCCCCGUCGUCACCCUCUGGGCGGGCAGCAAGCCGGCCAUCUUCAUCGCCGGCCGUGAAGCCGCGCACCGCACCCUUGCCCGCAAUGGGGCCACCUUCGCGCACCGUCCGCCAUCGUGGUCCUUCGGGCUUAACGGCCACGGCGUCAACAACGCUCAGUACGGCGGCCGCUGGAGCCUCCUCCGGCGCAACCUCAGCUCGCACCUUGCAGGGGCGCCUCUCGCUGUCGCACUACAAUCUUCCCUCAGCAGACUUGUCUCGAGCCUCGAGCGUGCGGCCGCGGCGGCGGAGAACCACGUCGUUGUGCCAUCCGAAAUACUCCGACACGCCGUGUUCUCCUUCUUCGCCUCGCUUUGCUUCGGCGAGGGGGCGGCGGAGGACGUGCUCAGGCAGCUACCGGGAGUCCACGCCGAGAUCCUGUCCCUCGUCGUUGAGCUCGGCGCGUUCCACCUCAUGCCCGCCCUGCUCGAGAUCGCGUGCUACUUGCCUAGGUGCCGGAAGUUAUCCAACGCCCAGAAGAGGCACCGUGCUACUGUCAUGGCUCUCAUCAGUGCUCGCCAACAGCGAAACAGAGAUGGGGUCGGCCCAGGGCGGCGCCGGUGCUACGUCGACACGCUCCUGGAGCUAAGGCUCCGAGACGAGGAGAUGGUGGGCCUGUGCUGGGAGUUCAUGAAAGCUGCCGCCAAGACCACUUCCACGGCACUCGAGUGGAUCAUGGCGCGUCUUGUGCUCCACCAGGAUGUACAACGAAAGUUACGGGAAGACAUCGCUAGGAGAGGUGAAGGCGAUGAAAACUGUACGACAAAUGGCGAGAGACGGAGCCCGUUCCUGGAGGCCGUGGUGCUCGAAGCGCUGCGUCGCCACCCCCCGGCGCACUACCUGCUGGCGCACACGACGCACAAGGACGUCUACCUCGAUGGCUACGUGAUACCCAAGGGCUCCGUCGUCAACUACGGCGUGGCUGAUAUCGGACGCGACGCGACGUCGUGGACGAACCCCGACGAGUUCUUGCCUGAACGGUUCAUGGAGGGCGGAGAAGGAUACGGCGUUUCUGUUACCGCCGGCAGCGGGAGCGGCGAGGGGUCGAUGAAGAUGAUGCCUUUCGGCAGCGGGCGGAGGGCGUGCCCUGGCGCCGCUGUCGCUCUGACGGUGCUCAAAUCCUUCGUCGAGAAUCUGGUCACGAGGUUCGAGUGGACACCGGUUGGAGCAGUGGACAUGGAAGAGAAACCCGGGCUUGUCACCGAGAUGAGGACGCCGUUACGCACUUGUUUGGUCGUGAGACCGCAUGUACAGCCGACUAUGUAA
rnacentral:rRNA from 1 species